UGAAAGGGUUUCAUUGAACAGUGUUUGGGAAGAAUUCUUUCAUUUUCAGUGAUGCUGAGACUUGUGUAUAAAAUGCACCCUUGGGGGGUGUAGGUGUUUGAAUAAAUCUUUAAGAUUAUUUAAAUAAUACAUUGUUUAAACAUAAUUAAAAUGGAGGAUCAAAUACACAUAGGCCAUUUUGCGGGGCCUUAUUUGUAAUGAAACUGUUUUGUGUGUGUGAAUGCCGUGGAGGGGAGCUUUGAGUUGGGUUCUGUUGUUUAUGAUACUGUUUUCAUUUUGCCACCAAUAUGUACUAUACUGUCAUCUAAAGUCUUCAUUAGUGCAGACAGAGAUCUUCCCAAGAAGUUCCAAAUGGGUCUGAAACCCCACUCCUAUAAACAUGCACAAGCCUAAUCCAAUUGGGAAACUACUCACUUGAUUCUAGUUUUGUACAUAUGUAACUAUUUGUCAGAAGCCACAUAUUGUAAUUGAGAUUCUUGAGAAGUGGGAGGAAUUAGUUUAAAGGAUUGAAACAUUACUUGGAUGUCUGUUGUAUUUGUUAAGUAUUGUUGUAAGGACUCAAUUAAAAAUCUUCCAUAAGAUGCCACAUGAAUCCUGUCUCACUAUCCUUAAGAAAUGUUGCAAAACCUUUGUCUUGGAUAAAGCCUUUCUACCAAAACUGAUAUUAAAGCUCCUUCUGUUCCUAACUCCUUAACAAGCUCUUCUUCCCCUGCAACAAAGAAACAAUUAUCCCCCCCCCCAAAAAAAAACUUGCAAAGCAGAAUUUUGAUAGCAGAAAGAAACAUGCAAAAGACUUCAGCCUCCAUGAAGUCCAAUAAGGCCUUCACUAUUGUUACUUAUUUUAUGUAUCAUGUACUCAGAUGCUAUGAUGAUGGGCAGAAGAAUUAAACUUUAUGGCAUGGUCUACACUCAAUCAGUCCAGUUCCUUGGUGGCAAAUGACAAUAAGAAUCCUUGUUAGCAGUAUCAAGAAAAAAGCUAAGGGCGUAAUAGGCCUAAUGACGACAAACCUAUUAUCCAAGAAGAAUACUGGCAUGGGAGCAUAGGGAAUCUUGUCAUUAAUAAUACGCUGCUUGUUUUGUUGACAAAUACAGGACUUCAAGUUCCAGCUCCAUCGAGCAAGCUACUCUGUUUAGCGGACAAGCAACCUGCGUUUGGCUUUUACAUAUUGGCCUCAUUGUACUCGUAUUAUGCCCACUACUGAACAUAUAGAUUAUGCUGAUAGUCUGAGAGGAUCAUUUAAAAGAUUCAUGGAGGGAGCAGGACCAGUAAUGAAGCUACUGGUCCAGUCCUGAGAGAACAGAUCCACUUUGCUAAUCACUCUUCAGUGUUUGUUUGAAAAAGAUUUUCAAAUAAGAUGGGUGCUUGCGAAAUGAGAUAGAUGUCAAAUUAAGAUGAUUUUGAUGGUGCCUGAGAGCAGCGGGAGGCACUGAGCCAGAAUCAAGUUGGCAGGCUGUGUGAUACCUGGACCAGAAGGAGAGAGCUUGGCUGACACUACUACUAUCCCCCAGGCAUCUCUGGAUGCACCAUGACACCAUUGGUCUUUGGUUGUCCUGAUCCUGAGAGAGAACCUGUUUGGAAUAGGCAAUCCAGAAGAACCCAGGUGAUAUCACCAGGUCCAGCUAAAUCACAAAGACCGCCUGGGCUAAGAAACUUGUUUCCAUAUCACCCAACUUUUCUUCUCUUCCUUCUCUCUCUCCUUUUGCCCUCUAGUCUGUAAGAGUCUGGCUUAGGCAGUCAAGACUGCAUCUUUUACAGCACUGCUGUGAACCUGUUACCAAAUGAGCAAUUACAAGCGAUACCUCAGACAGCUUGAUGCUUCCAGGAGUUGGAGUGGUGGAUACAACCAUGCACUGGCCCCUUAUUUCUCUAGCAUCAAGAUUGCAAGAGUUAGCACAAUACACAGAAGCUGAAUUUUCUAUCUUUGCUGGCCUUGUUUCUCCCCUCUUCUGUGUGUUUAUCUCCUCUUGUGGGCAGUGGGUUUGGACUUGAACAACAGCAACAGUUCCAGGCCACCUCAACUAGUCUUUUUUCUCCCCAAAAAGGGCUGUUGCAACCCUCUUUAAUAACAUCUAAAAGACAGUAAAGCAGGAUUUCCCUUUAUUAAAAUUACUACAACUAAAGGAAAAGGGAAUAAAGAACUUUUAAAAAUAAAUCUGAUUCAUACUUUGUAUU